rnacentral:sRNA from 1 species
CAUAUUCAACGAUAACAUUAUCUAUCUAUAACAGCGUUUUUCUGCAAUGGACAUAGCUGUUCAAAUGUUUCUCUUUUUUGUGAGAGUAUCUUGGGGGUUUUAUUAAUACUCCACCCGCAUCUCCAUUCCUACCGGCAAAAACAGCAAAGGCACUAGAACCUUCAUUGAUGACUGUUUGGAUUGGUAGUAUAAUGUAUUUCUGGAAAGUACUUCUUAAAAAAUAUUUUUCUACUUUGGAUUUUUUUUUUUAAUCCAUUCGCAGACCCCUUUGCUGAUGCAACUAAGGGUGACGACUUACUCCCGGCAGGGACUGAGGAUUACAUUCAUAUAAGAAUCCAGCAACGGAACGGCAGAAAGACACUGACUACUGUUCAGGGCAUUGCAGAUGAUUAUGACAAAAAGAAACUUGUGAAAGCUUUCAAAAAGAAAUUUGCCUGUAAUGGUACUGUGAUUGAACAUCCUGAAUACGGAGAGGUUAUUCAGCUUCAAGGUGACCAAAGAAAAAACAUCUGCCAGUUUCUCUUGGAGGUGAGUGAUUGGGUGCUUUAUGUGUAACCUUGAGAUUGCUUUUAAAAUUGUAUUUAAAGGCAACAUGAUUUGUUUUCUACUAAGUAAAAAAUCAUACGAAU